AGAGGACAUGGGAAGCUUGCUUCCUAUGAAAUCGAGUGGCAAACGGGUGAGUAACGCGUAAACAACCUGCCCUUCGGAUGGGGAUAACAGCCGGAAACGGCUGCUAAUACCGAAUACGAUCUUUUCGUCGCAUGACGGAAAGAAGAAAGGAUGGCCUCUAUACAAAGCUAUCGCCGAAGGAGGGGUUUGCGUCUGAUUAGCUGGUUGGAGGGGUAACGGCCCAACAAGGCGAUGAUCAGUAGCCGGUCUGAGAGGAUGAACGGCCACAUUGGGACUGAGACACGGCCCAGACUCCUACGGGAGGCAGCAGUGGGGAAUCUUCCGCAAUGGACGAAAGUCUGACGGAGCAACGCCGCGUGAGUGAAGAAGGUCUUCGGAUUGUAAAGCUCUGUUAUACGGGACGAAAAAGACGGAUGCCAACAGUAUCCGUCCGUGACGGUACCGUAAGAGAAAGCCACGGCUAACUACGUGCCAGCAGCCGCGGUAAUACGUAGGUGGCAAGCGUUGUCCGGAAUUAUUGGGCGUAAAGGGCGCGCAGGCGGUUCGGUAAGUCUGUCUUAAAAGUGCGGGGCUUAACCCCGUGAGGGGACGGAAACUGUCGAACUUGAGUGUCGGAGAGGAAAGCGGAAUUCCUAGUGUAGCGGUGAAAUGCGUAUAUAUUAGGAGGAACACCGGUGGCGAAAGCGGCUUUCUGGACGACAACUGACGCUGAGGCGCGAAAGCGUGAGGAGCAAACAGGAUUAUAUACCCUGGUAGUCCACGCCGUAAACGAUGGAUACUAGGUGUAGGAGGUAUCGACCCCUUCUGUGCC
rnacentral:rRNA from 1 species